UUCCUACAAUAAAAUGGCCCCAUUUUGAGGCCAUGCUUGAAUUAAUGAAAGGAGAGUCUGAGCCUGUGGCCAGCCACAUCACAGCAGAAGAGGCUAACGAGAGAUCACAGCCUCGGCCAAGCCAUGCAGCGGAACCGGAACGUACCCCUGAUACGGCUGAGGAGACUGGUGUCGACACCUGCAGCAAUGAGUAAAACCUUUAUGAAUCCACCUAAGUAAUAACAAAUGAAGGGCAUGCAUA